UACGUAGGGUGCGAGCGUUAAUCGGAAUUACUGGGCGUAAAGCGUGCGCAGGCGGUUUUGUAAGACAGGCGGGAAAUCCCCGGGCUCAACCUGGGAACUGCGCUUGUGACUGCAAGGCUAGAGUACGGCAGAGGGGGGUGGAAUUCCGCGUGUAGCAGUGAAAUGCGUAGAGAUGCGGAGGAACACCGAUGGCGAAGGCAACCCCCUGGGCUGAUACUGACACUCAUGGACGAAAGCGUGGGGAGCAAACAGG
rnacentral:rRNA from 1 species